GUUGUUGAUGAGAGCCAGGGCAUUGCUUGUCAAAUGUGCAAUUUUAACAAUUCGUUUUCUUACCAUAGUUUUUGCAUAUCCAUUCAUGGCCUUGCCUGCAAAUCCAUCCAUGCAAGUAUCCUCGUCUGUCAGCGCUGCGCUAACCCAGGUUUGAAUAUCACUCAUUGUAAGGGAAAAAUUUGAGCUUCUAAUGUGACCAAGUUCCCCUAUAGACUGUUGCAACUCAUCUACAGAGUCACCAAUUACCUCAAUGCAAUCUGCCAUGGCUGCAGCUACCCUAGGCCUCAAACCAUGGAUUCUUGAGAUCUUUAUCAUCAACCUUGAAGUUGAUUUGCUGGCUUUAAGGGUUACGUUGAGCGCAGUAUGGACUAACAAUCUGGGGCUGGUGUUAAUUUUGCUUGCAUAGAUUGAGAGGGAGCGGUAGCACAAU
rnacentral:lncRNA from 1 species